rnacentral:rRNA from 1 species
UACGUAGGGUGCAAGCGUUGUCCGGAAUUAUUGGGCGUAAAGAGCUCGUAGGUGGCGGGUCACGUCGGGUGUGAAAGCCCGGGGCUCAACCCCGGGUCUGCAUUCGAUACGGGUCUGCUAGGGUCCGGCAGGGGAGACUGGAAUUCCUGGUGUAGCGGUGAAAUGCGCAGAUAUCAGGAGGAACACCUGCGGUGUAGACGGCUUUCUGGACCAUUGUUGACGCUGAGACACGAAAGCGUGGGUAGCAAACAGG